AUGUCGCACAGAGCGGCCGCCGCCCGUGCUGCUGGCCGGCGACGAAAGCCUGCAGGGGGCAAGCCGAUGAAGGGCCGGGCAGGCUUCGUCAGGAGGCCCCGCAGGCAGGUGGGCACCCACAGGCAGGUGGACAUCCACGGGCCGGUAGGCACUCAGAGGCAGGUGGGCACCCACGAGCAGGUGGGCACCCAGAGGCAGGUGGGCACCCGGGGGCAGGUGGGCACCCAAGGACAGGUGGCCACCCGCGGACAGGUGGGUGUAUGGAGGCAGGUGGGCACCCGUGGGCAGGUGGGCACCCAGAGGCAGGUGGGCACCCAGAGGCAGGUGGGCACCCGUGGGCAGGUGGGUACCCACAGGCAGGUGGGCACCCAGAGGCAGGUGGCCACCCGUGGGCAGGUGGGUACCCAGAGGCAGGUGGGCACCCAAGGACAGGUGGCCACCCGUGGACAGGUGGGCGUCCGGAGGCAGGUGGGCACCCUCGGGCCAGCUCCAUGGACUUCCAUCACCCCCCUGCCCGCCCAGUGUCCCCGGCACCCAGCCCCGCAGUGGGACGCCCUCGGCCUUGUCCCCGAAUCUCCCGCCACUGGGGUAGUGCCAUGUCCUGCUCUGCGUUCCGUGUCCUGCGGGGCAGUGGCUCCUGGGCGGGCCGGGCACCUCCUGGGCCGCACAACCACCAGGCUGCGCCCACCGAGCUGCCCAGAAAGCACAGCUGGGGCGCUCCUGAAGCUGCCACCUGCGGCUCUGCGCUGAGGCCCCCUCCUCUCCUCUUGGGGUGUCUGCUGAACCCCAGGACUUUUUCAUCUGUUAUGGGGCUAACAUGUGGGGCCUCCCCACCUGCCCUGGGCUGGCUGCCCAGCCCCUGCACCUGUGCACAUGUGCGCACGACACGCGGGCCAUGACCCUCCACGCAGGACCUGGAGCUCGCAUGUGCCCCAGGUGCCCCAGGAUGGGCCAUGGUGACUCCAAGUCCCAGCCCCACCCAGUCUCGCGAUUCUGGGGAGAGGGCCUGACCUUACCCCCAGGGCCCCGGGCGCACUGAUGUCCUUCUUGGAGGGGCUCAGCACCAUGUCGCUGGGAUGACCUGUUCCAACUUGGUGCCUUGGUGGUCCACGGCCACUCCUGGCACCUGCUUCCAGAAGGUGCGGGGCUUUAUAGGGCCAUCCUGGGCUCACAUGUUGAGUCUCUGGGCCUCCCUCAGCACCCACCAUGCAUGCUGUUCCUUCCACCGAGCACACCCUACCCUGUGGUCCAGGUCCACAGUCAAAUCUUCCCCUGAUACUGCAGGCCCUGCCUUCCCUCCACAGUGCCCGUCAGCCUCAGUCUCCCCUCCCACACAGUGGCCCACAGGCCUCAGGAGAGGCUGGCUGCUAGCUGCACACGGGUGACAAGGGCAUGGGGUGCCUUGGUGACACUGGGAUAGAGGAGCAGCAGAAGAGCAGGGGGAGCAGCAGGAGGAGCAGCAGCGGGAGCAGAGGAGGAGCAGCGGAGGAGCAACAGGAGGAGCAGAGGAGGAGCAGCGGAGGAGCAGCAGAGGAGCAACAGGAGGAGCAGGAGGAGGGGAGGCAGGAGGAGGAGGAGCAGGGGGGGCAAGCAGGAGAGGAGAGGGAGGGGGAGGAGGGGAGGGAGAGGAGGGAGGAGCAGCAGGAGGAGCAGCAGCAGGAGGAGGAGGAGGGAGCAGAGAGCAGGAGAGGAGGGAGGAGGAGGGGAGGAGGGGGGGAGGAGGAGGCAGCAGGGGGGAGAGAGCAGCAGGGAGAAGAGG
rnacentral:lncRNA from 1 species